rnacentral:rRNA from 1 species
CGUGCCUAAUACAUGCAAGUCGAACGCUUCUAUCGGUGCUUGCACCGGUAAGAAGAGUGGCGGACGGGUGAGUAACACGUGGGUAACCUACCUACAAGCGGGGGAUAACAUUCGGAAACGGAUGCUAAUACCGCAUAGAUCUUCAUGCCUCCUGGCACGAAGAAGAAAGACGGCUUCGGCUGUCACUUGUAGAUGGACCCGCGGCGCAUUAGUUAGUUGGUGAGGUAAUGGCUCACCAAGACGAUGAUGCGUAGCCGACCUGAGAGGGUGAUCGGCCACACUGGGACUGAGACACGGCCCAGACUCCUACGGGAGGCAGCAGUAGGGAAUCUUCCGCAAUGGACGAAAGUCUGACGGAGCAACGCCGCGUGAGUGAAGAAGGUUUUCGGAUCGUAAAACUCUGUUGUUAGAGAAGAACAAGGAUGAGAGUAACUGUUCAUCCCUUGACGGUAUCUAACCAGAAAGCCAUGGCUAACUACGUGCCAGCAGCCGCGGUAAUACGUAGAUGGCAAGCGUUGUCCGGAUUUAUUGGGCGUAAAGCGAGCGCAGGCGGUUCUUUAAGUCUGAUGUGAAAGCCCCUGGCUCAACCAGGGAGGGUCAUUGGAAACUGGAGAACUUGAGUGCAGAAGAGGAAAGUGGAAUUCCAUGUGUAGCGGUGAAAUGCGUAGAUAUAUGGAGGAACACCAGUGGCGAAGGCGACUUUCUGGUCUGUAACUGACGCUGAGGCUCGAAAGCAUGGGGAGCAAACAGGA